GAUGAACGCUGGCGGCGUGCCUAACACAUGCAAGUCGAGCGGACAGACGAGGAUCUUGCUGCUCUCACGUUAGCGGCGGGCGGGUGAGUAACACGUGGAUACCCUACCUAUAAGACUGAGAUAACUACGGGAAAGCGGAUCUAAUACGGGAUAAUAUAUUGAACCGCGGGGUUCAUUAGUGAAAGACGGUUUUGCUGGCACUAAUAGAGGGUUCCGCGCCGGAUUGGCUAGUUGGUAAGGUAACGGCUUACCAAGGGAACGAUGCGUAGCCGGCCUGAGAGGGUGGUCGGCCACACUGGAACUGAGACACGGCCCAGACUCCUACGGGAGGCAGCAGUAGGGAAUCUUGGGCAAUGGGCGAAAGCCUGACGGAGCAACGCCGCGUGAGUGAUGAAGGUCUUCGGGUCGUAAAGCUCUGUUAUCGGGGAAGAAAAAGUGUGUGAGUAUCUAGGCGCGUGAUGACGGUACCUGAUCAAAAAGCCACGGCUAACUACGUG
rnacentral:rRNA from 1 species